rnacentral:rRNA from 1 species
GCGCUUAACACAUGCAAGUCGCACGAGAAAGUGGAGCAAUCCAUGAGUACAGUGGCGUACGGGUGAGUAACACGUGGAUCAUCUACCUCUUGGUGGGGAAUAACCCUGGGAAACCGGGGCUAAUACCGCAUAAGCCUGCGAAGGGAAAGCAGCAAUGCGCCGAGAGAGGAGUCCGCGGCCGAUUAGCUAGUUGGUAGGGUAAUGGCCUACCAAGGCAAUGAUCGGUAGCCGGCCUGAGAGGGCACACGGCCACACUGGCACUGAAACACGGGCCAG